ACCCGCUGAACUUAAGCAUAUCAAUAAGCGGAGGAAAAGAAACUAACAAGGAUUCCCCUAGUAACUGCGAGUGAAGCGGGAAGAGCUCAAAUUUAAAAUCUGGCGUGCCUCUGGUCGUCCGAGUUGUAGUCUGGAGAAGCGUUUUCCGUGUUGGACCGUGUAUAAGUCUCUUGGAACAGGGCGUCAUAGAGGGUGAGAAUCCCGUCUUUGACACGGACUACCAAUGCUUUGUGAUGCGCUCUCAAAGAGUCGAGUUGUUUGGGAAUGCAGCUCAAAAUGGGUGGUAAAUUCCAUCUAAAGCUAAAUAUAGGCGAGAGACCGAUAGCGAACAAGUACCGUGAGGGAAAGAUGAAAAGCACUUUGGAAAGAGAGUUAAACAGUACGUGAAAUUGCUGAAAGGGAAACGCUUGAAGUCAGUCACGUCUGCCAGGACUCAGCCUUGCUUCUGCUUGGUGUACUUUCUGGUUUGAUGGGCCAACAUCAAUUUCAACCGUUGGAGAAAGGCUUUGGGAAUGUGGCACCUUAGGGUGUGUUAUAGCCCUUUGUUGUAUACAACGGCUGGGAUUGAGGACUGCAGCAUGCCUUCAUGGCCGGGGCUCGCCCACGUACAUGCUUAGGAUGUUGGCAUAAUGGCUUUAAGCGACCCGUCUUGAAACACGG
rnacentral:rRNA from 1 species